GAACCUGACUUUUCCUGCAGCACAAGGAGAGAGGCACUUUGAGGUUUUCCAAGCUCUCGUCCUAUCUAUGCUUUGGGCGCUGAACAGGGAGGGGACCGUGAUGCCAUGCAUGGCCAACAGCAACGGAUGCCAAGCAAGGCUCAUGGCAUAAGACAGACUCGAGGAACUAAGCAGUGGUCACAGGCAGAGGGAGUUAGCAGUGGAGCUGACUGCAUUGGAAAGCCUUGGGAAAACAGCACGGAAAAUAACAGGCGGCCGGAGCCACGGCCAGGUUGGUGUUCCAUUAACCAAGUCGCUGUGUAAGUAAGAAAUAACCUGGAGCUUCUCACAUUAAGAAUUUAUUAGCUACAAAAUUUUAAUACAUUACUCAUGAGUGGAAAUGGAGUUGCGUAUUAAUGCCCCAAGGCUUAGACUCAGCAGCAACAUUUCUAGACACCUGCUUACAGACUGUAGAUGUUCACCAGGAAAAGUCCAUCAGGGGAAAUUUGGGGAGUCAGGAAUGAUGGGCGAGGCUCCCUCCCUCUUUCUCUCCUCCAACCUCCCUCUCCCUAUCUCUCCCUCUCUUCCCUCUCUCGCCCCCUCUCUCAUCACUCCCUAUUACCUGCAACCUUCUCCUUGCCCAACAGAACCACAACCCCAAAAGUGUGAAGCAAAUGGGACACUCA
rnacentral:lncRNA from 10 species